AAUAGAAUCUAUUUAUUAUUAUUAUUAUUCCUUACUUAGGCGGCAUAAUGGUGAGGAGGAAGCAUCGAAGAAGGUGCCGAUAACGACGACCUUUCGAACCUUUAUCCCGCGUCUUCCUUGAUCUCCUCGGCAUCAAUGUCCAAGACCCUUGUUACCUUCGACGAGCGAGUUGCUCGACCGACCUGAUCGAGUGAUCGGCGUGUUCUUCGCCUAAAACGAGAUUGGAUCUUUAUGGCUCUUUAGCGCCGGUGUUACUGCGAUGGAGCUCGUUGCUGACGAGGCGAUGGCUGAGGGGGAAGAUGUGGAGGCGGAACCCUCCUUGGAGUGCUUCAUGACAGAAAAAUAUAUGCAAAUAAAAUUUGCACAAUCUAUUGUUCUUCUAGAACUAGUGUGUUGGAGGGCUUGAGUUAACUUCAUGUCGAAACUCGCAAGGUAUGACAAGUUUGUGAAACUAAAUAGCAUUGGAAAAUUGGUUUGAUGA